GAUAUUUCAAAUUUCAUACACUCAUACAAACCUUUAUCCAUUUUUGGUUCUGCUUUCCGAUGUCCUGCAUCAUCAAAAAUGGCAAAGAGAGAGCAGAUGCAAGCACAACUCCUUUCCUCUUUCACUCUCCUUCUAACUCCAGAAUUAAACCCAACACUCAACCUCUACCUCACUCUCCUCCUAUAUAUUGACAUCAUCUUCCUUCACAUUUUACUCACAUCCUAAAUUAACUACAUAUUUCAUUUGCAUCAUCAUCUAAACACAUUUUACAUGGCUAUGCCUCGUUCUUUAAAAUUGAUCCGCCUUUUAAAAAAAGCUUGGAGCACCCUUAAACAAUCCAACGCUAGGAGAAACAAAAAUCAAAAGAAUAGAGCAACAUCAAGUUUACCAAGUGUACUCUCCCAAAUUCAAAAGCUUGAUACAAUCUAUGUCGAAACCGCGGCAGAUAUGGAGGUGGUGCAAAAACUUAUCAAUGCCCAGGAACUGUGGAAGGGCACCCACAUUGUUGUGAAAAACUUACUUUGCGUCCUCCCAAUCGUCACUUUCAAUGACUUCUAACUUAAGCUCUUUGGCCUUUUGUUUAAUAGUUGCAGUUGUGACAUCUUGUUUGGUCUUCACAACAAUGUAGGUGCCCUUCCACGGUUCCUGUGCAUUGAUAAGUUUGGCCUUUUGUUUAAUAUAUAUAUAUUACCCAUUUCGAAUAAAUAAUAUUAAACAAUUGAAUUGUUAUUCGCACUUUCAUUUGUCAUUUCCUCAAAAAAAAAAAUUGAUUUUUUUUUAUAUUUCUCUUGUUACGUAAUACUUUAUUCUAAUUUAUAAUCGCUACAUAUUACGUGAUGAGAAAGAUAUUAAGAAAGAAUGCAUGCACCAGAAUUAAUACAUUUCUCUACAAUUUAUAUACCUUAUAGAUGUACUCGACUAAAUAACUCCUCUAAUCGGAUGUUCGGUAUAAAAUUAAAGACACCUCAAACCGAAGAGAAGAAUCAUUAAUUAACAAAGACUAGUUUAGCAAAGCUAUGUGCCACACGUUUAACAUUACAACCUUAGCAUCAUCAUCGCUCAAGCAAAGGAAACAAAGCAGAGAUGAUUUCGGAAAAGAUAAGUGCAAAAAAACAGCAGUAAAGUUGAGAAAUGAAAGCUAAGAUAAGAGAGUGAGGUUGAUGUAUUAAUUACUCAAAUACUGAGUCCACUCCCACUCUUAUGUAUCCAAUGACUCCAUGCACUAUAUAUACCCGUGACGCUUCCCAUUCCUCUCCGUUUUCCUCCGUUCUCCACUUCUCUCUCUCUCUCUUCCCAAACCUGCAAAGGGGUUUUAGUACGGUUUCUUAUCUGCCAAAAGCCCCUUCUAGCUAGCUGGCUAGGCGCUCCUCCUCCCGUACUCUUCGCAGGUCUCUGCUUCUUCUUUUCCAUCACCUUAUUUCUUUCCUCUUCGAUCCACUCCGAAAUCACCCUUCUAUAAAAGUUCAGAUUCCACCUAAAACCUCACUCAGUACAAACAACUCACUGGUACAGUGGUACAGUUUGUUCUGUAUAUGCUUCUUGAUGUCUCUCAAGAACAAACCUACAUCUCCAAUUUCAUUUCCUCUCCCUCAAAACCCAUGACAAGCUUCCAAACCAUCUCGUCCGUAAACCCCAUGGUCAAAUUUUCGGAGCAAGUAACCACCAUGAUCAAGCUCAUCACCCACGAAAACCAAAACUCGCCUGUGAACCCGACCCAUCUCCCACCAAAGCUCGUCCGGAUCAUACUCACAGACGCCGACGCCACCGACUCCUCCAGCGACGAAGAAGACAGCGGCGUACGCAGAGUCAAACGACAUGUCAGACAGAUCAGCCUCGAGCUCUCUUCACCUUCCUCCUCCUCCUCCCUUCUUCUUCUUCUUCUUCAUUUUCUUCGGGUCAUUCCAAACGGCUCAGAAAAGGCCAACGACCCACCAAGAAACUCGGGUCGAGGUCGCCGGGAUCCGACCAGACUCGGCUGAACAAGUUCCGAGGAGUCCGCCGGCGACCAUGGGGCCGAUGGGCCGCGGAGAUCCGUGACCCGACCCGGAGAAAACGAGUCUGGCUCGGAACAUUCGACACGGCAGAGGAAGCUGCCACUGUUUACGACAGAGCCGCAGUGUUGCUCAAAGGUCCUGACGCCGUCACCAACUUUCCUAACGCCGCUAUGACGGAAGCCAAGGUCGUUGUUGGAGUCGGAGUUCUCCCCACUAGUGUCUCCGCCCCCAGAUUCCAAAGAACUUUCAGUGCUAUUCAGUCAAUAUUAAAUACAAAAUUAAUUCUAAUGAUAUUCAUAGCUAAGCUAAAUGAAAAUUAUAAAUACUCACAGAAAAAAAAGACUUAGUUUGAAAUCUGCAGACAUAAUAUUAUUUGUUUUUUUGUGUGUGUAAUUUUAAGUCUUUGGAUAUCAACACUCUUUGUUUCAUUUCAAUGUGUAAUUUUAAGUCUUCAGACAACACUCUCUUGUAUUGGUUUUUGUUCUUUUGUCAGCAGGUGGAAGGCCUUACUAGCACGACCAGACAACCUCGGUUCUUUCUCUCACUCUACGACUACGGCAGCUCACUCAUUUAGCUUAGUUAUGAAUAUUAUUAGAAUUAAUUUUGUAUUUAAUAUUGACUGAAUAGCACUGAAAGUUCUGUGGAAUCUGGGGGCAGAGACACUAGUGGGGAGGACUCCGACUCCAACAACGACAACGCCGGAACAAGCAACUGUGACUAGUAAUUUAAUUAUUAGUUUUGGUGUGUAAUUUUAAGUCUUCGGACAUUAACACUCUUUGUUUUGUUUCGGUGUGUAAUUUUAAGUCUUUGGACAUUAACACUCUUUGUUUUAUUUUGGUGUGUAAUUUUAAGUCUUUGGACAUUAACACUCUUUGUUUCAUUUCAAUGUGUAAUUUUAAGUCUUCGGACAACACUCUCUUGUAUUGGUUUUUGUUCUUUUGUCAGCAGGUGGAAGGCCUUACUAGCACGAGGCAGGAAAUGGAUAACAAAGUUGCUGAGGCUCCUUCUUCCGGAACUACAAAUCCUGAUGCAUGACGAUGGUCUCUGAUCUCCUAAUUUUAUUAUUAUUAUUUGUAAUUGUGAUGUUUUAAGGGAGUUUCUGACUUUAGGAAAGUUUUUCCAUAUGUUAUUAUAGUAAGUUUAGCUUUUUAUAAUAUUGCACAUUAUUAUUUACGGAUUGACCAUCGAGUUUGAAAGGCUUACCCACGCAUUUACUAUUUCUAUUGAGUUAAUGCCAUUUUCCCGCAUCUACAAUUCAGGUUGCCAAGACACGAAAAACGGAAGUAUCCACCAAGUAACAGGAAAAAAUACAAAAAGCAAAGCAAAAGCCAAAAAGAAAGUCAUGCUCUCUCUCGCGUUUCCAAGGCAACCCAUUCUUCAGAAUAACUUUAUUAAGAGAUCUUCUUAUGAUGGUAAAAAAUAUUCAUCAUGACUCUUGCUCGAUGCCCCCAAAGAGCAAGCAAAAUUAUUUAACGUAUGAAAAUGACAAAAGCUGCCCAAAAUUAUUUCCGGUAAAUAUGAACCAUCCAAUUUCCAAACACUCCAAAAACAACAAAAAAAUGUUUCUGGUGCAUAGGCCGGUGGCGGGCUCCAAAUUCCAAUGCUUCAUCCAUCUUCUUCCAUCUGAUAUCUUUUUCUUUUUUUUUCGGUCAACACUUCCAUCUGAUAUCUUUGAAGAGACUUUUAGUUUUUAUUUGAUCCAUUGGUCCAAACAUUGAAUCACAACACAGUGAGUUUUGUGGAGUAUUUUAUCACAUAUUAAGAACAUAAAAAUUUAGCAUGUGUUUUAUGAAGCAAAUAUGAUUGCGGAUCGAUGAUGCCUUAACAACUAUGUGACAUAAUUAUGUGCAUUCUUAUAUUUGGUUUUCUAAUUUCUCUAUUUUGUAGUCGUUAUAAUUUAUUUUAAAUUUCAUAAUAUUGGAAUCCUUUGCGGAUCUUCGUCCUAUAUUUUGCUUGUUUCAUUAAAAAUAACCGAGUGACUUAGUGAGAUAGUGUCGUGAGAUAGGGUCAAACAACUUUUCUUUUUCUUUUUUUCCCUGCGAAAGGUGUCGAACACUUUCAGAGAGAAAGUGGUGCAAUUACUUGCCCACUGCGUAAAGUCCCUUUCAAUGUGGAUGAGUUUGAGUUACUUUCCUUCCAAGUUGAAACAAACAAGAAAUCCAAAACGAUCGAGCACGCACCAAGUCUACAUCACUCACGUGCUCCUUUUUCCUAUACCCUCUGCCCUCCAUUCAUCAUGGCUUAUGGUAGUACUACUACUAAGUUACAAAGUUUACAAACCCUUCCCUACGAACCAUUCACAAUUUUGUCAAUUUGAGGGGAAAAUGAAAAUGAAAAAUUAAAAAAAUCCACUAGCUGCUUCCCAUGCCAUCAAGGGGCCAAGUUUCACAUGUGGCUUUCCAUCCAACACUAGCUUGUUUUAUUGAUAAAGAAGAGAACCAUUGCCCCCAGUGCAAUUUCCCAUCAAAGGGUCAAGUUUCACGUGCUGCUACUGUUGCGUUUUACAGUGGCGCUAGCAUUCCUCCACUCCCAAUUUACUUAUAUAAUGCUUUUGGAUAAAAAAAAAAGGAACAAACAAAAUAAUGCUGGGACAGGUCAGCAAAGCCUGUUUCUAUCAACCAUGUCUGGGAAACCGGCUUCUAAGAUUCCCACGCUGCGCGAUAUUGAAACACUAGCUGCUUUCCAAUGUUGCUUCCCAUCAAACACUAGGUACUAGCUUGUUUUACUGACCCAGUGUUGCUUCCCAUCAAACACUAGCUUUACCCGAGCAAAAGACAACCAUUUACCUGAUCAAAAGACACCAUAUUUUCCCAUAAAAGUUUCACAUGUGGGAUUUAUUUGACUGCUAGUGCGUGCUUGUUAGUGCUUGUUUGGUGUGCAUUGGGAGCUGCUUCUCUCCUCUACUUUAUUGUAUUGUAUUUGCUUUCUCUCUGUAUGAUCUCUUUAUGCAAUAAAAAGAACAAGUUUUCAAUUAUUUUUUAAAAAAAAGCCCGAACCGGCUUCUAAGUUAUUGGUAAAUCAAACUUUCCUGUGUAAAUUUGUUUUUCUUUCAGGUGAGGUAUGUGUAGAAACGUUGUUGGUAAUUUAAAUGCGGGUUUUUCAAAUCCUUUCUCAAUUUUUUCACACUUUAUCAGCCACAUUAAAUGUGUGUUGUGAAUCUACUAGUUAGCAUUCAAAUCUCCUCUAGAAUGUAGCACAAUCUACUUUUUAUAAUGCAUUUGGAUUUAUUAAAAAAAACUACUCCCAAUCUACUUUUUACAAUGCUUUUGGAUAAAUAAUAAAUAACAAAAUAAUGGUGGGAUGGGUCAGCAAAGCCUGUCUAUCAACCAUGCCUAGGGAACCGGCUCUUCUUAGAUUCCCACGCUGCGCGAUAUUUUCGUUAAAGCUCUUCACGUUCCUGCCUUGUAUUUUCACCAGGUAGCUACAGUCCCCCAACUGGCCCCCAUGAUGGCUGAUAUUAAUUUGUUUUUUUUCCAUGGAUGGCUAACGUGAAGAUGUAUCCAAUUAUUAAUAAGAGUACUUCUGCUGAUAUUUCAAAUUUCAUAUUCAUACAAACCUUUAUCCAUUUUUGAUUCUGCUCUCCGAUGUCCUGCAUCAUCAAAAAUGGCAAAGAGAGAGCAGAUGCAAGCACAACUCCUUUCCUCUUUCACUCUCCUUCUAACUCCAGAAUUAAACCCAACACUCAACCUCUACCUCACUCUCCUCCUAUAUAUUGACAUCAUCUUCCUUCACAUUUUACUCACAUCCUAAAUUAACUACAUAUUUCAUUUGCAUCAUCAUCUAAACACAUUUUACAUGGCUAUUCCCCGUUCUUUAAAAUUGAUCCGCCUCUUAAAAAAAGCUUGGAGCACCCUUAAACAAUCCAACGCUAGGAGAAACAAAAAUCAAAAGAAUAGAGCAACAGCAAGUUUACCAAGUGUACUGUCCCAAAUUCAAAAGCUUGAUACAAUCUAUGUCGAAACCGCGGCAGAUAUGGAGGUGGUGCAAAAACUUAUCAAUGCCCAGGAACCGUGGAAGGGCACCCACAUUGUUGUGAAGACCAAACAAGAUGCCACAACUGCAACUAUUAAACAAAAGGCCAAAGAGCUUGACUUAGAAGUCAUUGAAAGUGACGAUUGGGACGACACAAAGUAAGUCUUUUUUUUUUCUUUUUUUUUUUUGGUGAGUAUUUAUAAUUUUCAUUUAGCUUAGUAAGUUAUGAAUAUUUGCUCCUCAGGAAGAACCAAAUGGGUUGUCACCCGCGUCUAUAUAUGGUAACUUGUCAAUGGGAGUGGCAAGUAUAUCUAUUUCAAAUUCGGAGAUUGGGUUCCCCUGCGGUCGAGUCCAUGGGAAGUGAUCGCGUUGGCGAUUGUGUGGCAAACACGUGGAGGGUUUUCGUAUAUGUUGUUUGAUGAUUGGGCGGUCUAUGCUUGGUUUUAUUAUUGAAAAGAUAAUAAAUAAAAAAUAAAAUACACAUGACAACGUCUAUUAAUUAACGUAGCAUGACACAUCAGCUGUCACAUAAGAAAAUCAACUAAUACAGUCAAUAUUAUGUCUAAAUAACAUUACUCUUAAAUUAUUAAUAAGUAUUCUUCGUUGUGACAGCUGAUGUCAGUGUGUCGUUACUUGAACAUUCUACAAGCUUUAUCCAUAUCCUCGUGAAAUUGGUGUGAAGGCCAGGGCUAUCUGAUGUAAUUUCCUUGUUUGUCUUGGGCAUUUGGUUAGCCAAAAAGAAAAUGAAAUUGGUCGUGAGAAAACACAUUCUCACUUGAGCUUUCGCGCAGUGGGUCAAUAGUUCUUAUUCAAUGAGGAACUUUCAAAUACACAAAAGUGUAAUUUAGCAUGGCACAACUCAGUAAGUUGGAACCAAUCUCACAAUGUAAUUUCAUGAAGUUUAGACAAGUAAAGGGAUUGAUUUCAACAUGGUUGUUUGUGCCAUUCACUGUCCUUUUGUCGGCUCUCGUUUAAGAUUGGAUUUCAAGUGAUUAUAGUAGAAGCUUUAAAAAAAAUCAAAUAGAAUCAAUCAAAUACACCAACCCAAAAUCGAACCAAAUCAAUUAUUGUAAUUGGUUUAGUUUUCAAUUUUAAGGGUGAAACAGACACAAACAAACUGUGCCUACCCCAAAUUCCCACAUAAUUUCCCAAAUUUGUACAAAUUGAAAUCUUGAGUUGGACAUAAUUUCGGGUUACACUUAACUCAAAUUUGGAUUUGGCACUCUUGACUAGAGAUGGUCUAACUAAGUUAACCAGCCUACAUUGCCAAAGUAACGAGGCCUAGUUGGCUGGCCCAAAUAAUUUCUAGACCCAAUUAAGGAAACUAGAACUGGACCGACAAGACUACCCGAAAAACCUGGUUUUACAAUUUUACUAGGACUUGGAACCAAAAACCUGGUUUUACGGUUUUAUUAGAAAGGGCAUAACAGGAAUUCGAGAGAAAAAACAAGUCCUUUCCCGUAAUUUUUGAGUUGCGUAGCAUAUUCGUGUUCUCGGCCAAACCCUCGCCUAUAAAUUCCAGUUGACGAAGCCUCUUGAAACCCUCUCUAGCUCUCUAGUUGCUGCGUCGCUCUCUCCUCUCAAAUCCCUAGUAAAGCUUGUUGGGGCGAUCCGAGAGAAAGACUCUGCUGCAAACAUGUUGGUUUACCAAGACCUCCUCACUGGUAAUUUCCCCCGUUAUUUUAUUUUCCCCCUCUCUGUCUUAAAUUAGGGUUUUAGUUUUGUUCAUAUUAGUUUUCAGGGAUGAUACGAAGUUAGAUCUCUGUUAAAUCUCCAAAUUUUAGGUUAGGUUAGGGAUCUGAUUUUGUUCACUGGCGCCCAAUUUUCACUACUGCCGUAUUUGUCUUGUUGUUUCACAAAUUUCUUGAUCUAUAGCUGCUGUAUUUAUUUUGUGUUGAUUAUGUGCAAGUUUUGUUUUAUGUAAUCAGAGCUACUGGGCUGCAUGUUGUGUAUAUUUAUAAUUUUCAUUUAGCUUAGUAAGUUAUGAAAAUUAUAAAUACUCACAAAAAAAAAAAAAAAAAAANNNNNNNNNNNNNNNNNNNNNNNNNNNNNNNNNNNNNNNNNNNNNNNNNNNNNNNNNNNNNNNNNNNNNNNNNNNNNNNNNNNNNNNNNNNNNNNNNNNNACAAAUCUUUAUCCAAUUCUGGUUCUGCUCUCCGAUGUCCUGCAUCACCAAAAAUGGCAAAGAGAGAGCAGAUGAAAGCACAACUCCUUUCCUCUCUCACUCUCCUUCUAACUCCAGAAUUAAACCCAACACUCAACCUCUACCUCACCCUCCUCCUAUAUAUUGACAUCAUCUUCCUUCACAUUUUACUCACAUCCUAAAUUAACUACAUAUUUCAUUUGCAUCAUCAUCUAAACACAUUUUACAUGACUAUUCCCCGUUCUUUAAAAUUGAUCCGCCUCUUAAAAAAAGCUUGGAGCACCCUUAAACAAUCCAACGCUAGGAGAAACAAAAAUCAAAAGAAUAGAGCAACAGCAAGUUUACCAAUUGUACUCUCCCAAAUUCAAAAGCUUGAUACAAUC
rnacentral:lncRNA from 1 species